CGGAACGGGUGAGUAACGCGUGAGGAACCUGCCUCAAAGAGGGGGGAAACAGUUGGAAACGACUGCUAAUACCGCAUAAGCCCACGGCUCGGCAUCGAGCAGAGGGAAAAGGAGCAAUCCGCUUUGAGAUGGCCUCGCGUCCGAUUAGCUAGUUGGUGAGGUAACGGCCCACCAAGGCGACGAUCGGUAGCCGGACUGAGAGGUUGAACGGCCACAUUGGGACUGAGACACGGCCCAG
rnacentral:rRNA from 1 species